rnacentral:lncRNA from 1 species
AAGGGGGGACUUUAGGAAUGCAGAAAUUGUAAGCACAAGAGAUCCAUGGAGGCCGGUCAUUCCAUUGCUGCUCUGCUAUCUGUUGCUGCCACCGAUGAUGCAGAUCUUGAUGAAGACCCUGACGGGCAAGACCAUCACCCUAGAGGUGGAACCCAGUGACACCACUGAGAAUGUCAAGGCAAAGAUCCAAAAAGGAAGACAUCCCCCCUGACAAGCACAGGUUGAUCUUUGCUGGCAAAAUUCUGGAAGAUG